UACAGAGGGGGCAAGCGUUGUUCGGAAUUACUGGGCGUAAAGGGCGCGUAGGCGGCCUGCUAAGUCGAACGUGAAAUCCCCGGGCUCAACCCGGGAACUGCGUCCGAUACUGGUUGGCUUGAAUCCGGGAGAGGGAUGUGGAAUUCCAGGUGUAGCGGUGAAAUGCGUAGAUAUCUGGAGGAACACCGGUGGCGAAGGCGGCAUCCUGGACCGGUAUUGACGCUGAGGCGCGAAAGCCAGGGGAGCAAACGGGG
rnacentral:rRNA from 1 species